rnacentral:rRNA from 1 species
UAAAGUGGGGGAUAACUAGCCGAAAGGUUAGCUAAUACCGCAUAAUGUAGUUAACUGGAAUGUUAAUUAAGAAAGGAUUUAUUCGCUUAUAGAGGAGUCUAUGGUUGAUUAGCUAGUUGGUAGGGUAAUGGCUUACCAAGGCGAUGAUCAAUAGCUGGUCUGAGAGGACGAUCAGCCACACUGGGACUGAGACACGGCCCAGACUUCUACGGAAGGCAGCAGUGGGGAAUUUUCCGCAAUGGACGAAAGUCUGACG